rnacentral:tRNA from 1 species
UCAGAGUAUAGCUAAGAUAGAAAAGCAUCUCCCUUACACUGAGAAGCCGCCCGUGCAAGUCGGGUUAUUCUGAG